rnacentral:lncRNA from 1 species
UCCUGCAGCAAUGUUCUUUAAUUAAUUUACAGUCUAUCUUUAUGUUGCUACCUUUCUUUAUGGUACUUAUUUGUAUUCUUCAUACAAUAUUUAUGCAUUGUAGCAUUAUAGCAUUGUAUUGUGUUGUGUAGUCUAAUGUAUGUUUUAAUAUUUUCAUCAUUCUAGAGCAUAUUAUUAGGCAAAUGAAAGAUUUUUGAUAAAGCUGUGUGAGACUUCAUGCCUCGUUCAUUGGCUGAAGUCAAGCAAAUAUUCAUGCCCAUAUGCUCAUAGUUUCACUGGCACUUGCUUAUCGUCGAUAUAGAGAGC